rnacentral:rRNA from 1 species
UACGUAGGGGGCAAGCGUUGUCCGGAAUCAUUGGGCGUAAAGAGCGUGUAGGCGGCCUGAUAAGUCGGCUGUGAAAGUCAAGGGCUCAACCCUUGAAUGCCGGCCGAUACUGUCAGGCUAGAGUCCGGAAGAGGCGAGUGGAAUUCCUGGUGUAGCGGUGAAAUGCGCAGAUAUCAGGAGGAAUACCGAUGGCGAAGGCAGGUCUCUGGGCUAACACUGACGCUCAUGCACGAAAGCGUGGGGAGCAAACAGG